CCUAUAUAAAGAGUACCCUGGUAUUGCUAUGUCCCAGUCAUUUUUCUCAUUGUACCAUGUCUCAGUAACAGCGACUAAAUCUACACUAUCAGUUGCCAUUAUUGCCACAAGUUCAUGGAUCUUAUUCCCUAAACUGCGAGCAUUUGUAGACAUGACUCUAAGCUUAUCAUUUUUUAACACACUUGCUACAGGCACCUUCUGUCCUUGUUUAAUGGUUGUAUAUAUAAAUUUAUAUUGAUUUUUCACAGUGGGAUUUGUUUCCUUAUGAACGGAUAUAUAAUUUUUGUGGUUUAUACUUAGAAGUUACAAGCUACUUCAAUCCUCAGCAGGGGUGAAUUUCUAGUUGACAGGGUCACAUUUUCCCUUGCCAGUGGGGUAUUCACCAUGGAAACAGCAAGCACACAGUCUUCUGCACUUAAACGGUCACUUCAGAUGCUUAAAAUAAUUUCAGCUUGCUUACGUGCUUUAUAUGUGAAGAUAGUGUCAUCUUUUUCCCAGAAUUGCAGAAAUUGUCACUAUGCUAAAUAAAACACACACACACUAAAGUGUUCCUUUAAAGUACUGAUAGGCUUGCACAUAGGGAUUUAGGGGUAGUAAUUUCAGAUGACUUAAAGGUAGGCAGUGUAAUCAAGCAACAGGAAAUGCUUGCAGCAUGCUUGGUUGUAUAGUGAGAGGUAUUAACAGUAGAAAGAGGGAAGUAUUCAUGCCAUUGUACAGAACAUCGGCAAGACCUCACGUAUUGUACGCAGUACUGGAAACCGUAUCUUUAGAGAAAGUUCAGAAGUGGUCUACUAAAUUGGUUCAUGGAUUACAGGAUGAAACUUACCAGGAAAGUUAAACGAUCUUAACAUGUAUAAAAAAAAUAAAAAGGGCUGAUAUAAAGUCUCUCUUGUUGCAUUUUAACCCCUUAAGGACCAAACUUCUGGAAUAAAAGGGAAUCAUGACAUGUCACACGUCAUGUGUCCUUAAGGGGUUAAAAUUUCCCUUAUAGGGUUGCUGCCCCAGUUGUUAUUUAGCGCUUACUCUUUUUCCCUGUCUUAACAUGUAUAGCCUGGAGGAGAGACGGGACAGGGUGAUAUGAUAGAAACAUUGAAAUAAAAAGGAGGAGACUAUGUACCUACAGCUGGAAGGAAAAGGCCUUAUGCAUGUCUAAGUUUCUGCAAGGUAGACUAUGGAGGAAACCGUCUACCCUUAAUACUGGACACUAUAAUUGUAUUGAAUUUAACCACUUGCAUAUUUUUAAACUAUGUAUAUCUAACCCCCAUUCCUUUGUCAUAUCUCAACUGGACAUACAUGUAUAUACAUACACACACACACACACACACACACACUCUGCAGUUUGUCUUGUCCUGCAUGCUAAAGCUAGUUGCUCCCUGCCCUGCUCAUCAUUGGUUUUGUUAACUUAAAUGUUAUUCAACAUCCUGCUUAUCUCAAGACUUUCUCUGUUAUUUCUUCUCCCCCCCCCCUUAUUUUAUUGAUACCCACCCAAAUGUCUUGCUUGACCAAUCCUCACCUCCUCUGUGCAUCUCCAUUCCAUAGCUUUUAUUGCAGUCCUGUUUUGACCCUAUCAUCUCUGUCUUCCACAGUCUGAGUUUUAAAAGACCACUUCUAGCAAACCUGAACAGUGCUCAGACCAGUUACCGCCAAAAAUGUUCCAGAACUGCUGAACGCUGCUGGAGAAAGUCUCACUUUGCAGCUGACUUUGUCCACUAUAAAUAUUUGCUGCGCUCCUACAGCAUGGCUCUUUCCUCUGCAAAAAGUAAGCUACUUCAACACCCUCAUAAGCACACUGUCCCACCAAUCCAAACACCUGUUUCACACUUUUGAUGCUCUUCUUCGCCCUGUGACACCCCCCUCCUUCCACCACAAACUUUGCAUCUCAUUUCACUGAGAAGAUCUCUAUAAUCAGGAACGAUAUCUCUAAUCUUUCUCCAACCAGUAUCAAUACAUCACCCAACCCCACUCCCCCUGCCAUCCUAAGCUAAUUUCUGCUCUGCUACUGUCCUCCCGCCCCACCACCUGAUCCCUCGAUCCUAUUCCCUCGCAUCUCAUCCGCACUUUGUCUCCCUCUCUUGCUCUUCCACUCGCUAACAAUUUUCAAUCUCUCCCUUUCCUCUGGCACAUUUCCCUCUGCCUUCAAACAUGCAACCUUAACCCCAAUUCUGAAAAAGCCCAACCUUGAUCCCAACUCCCCAUCCAACUACCACCCUAUCUCGCUACUGCCAUUUGCCUCCAAGAUCCUCGAGAGAGUUGUCUACGCCAGAUUGACAGACUUUCUUGAAUCCAACUCUCUGCUUGACCCCCUUCAGUCUGGAUUCGGCGCUGGUCACUGUCGAAACUGCUGUGACCAAAGUAUCCAACGAUUUAAUUGCUGCUAAAUCUCACGGCCAAUACUCUAUCCUAAUCCUCCUUGAGCUUUCUGCCGCAUUUGACACUGUUGAUCAUCAACAGCUUCUUCACAUUCUCCGUAACUUUGGUCUAUGGCAGGGGUUCUCAACGUUAGUCCUCAGGACCCCCUACCAGUCCAGGGAUUACCUGGGUGUGUCUAAGGUGUUUAGAAAAAGAAGAAAAA
rnacentral:lncRNA from 1 species